GGUAGUGAGGGUGAUCUGGCUGCGACACCUGUCACUCCAUUGAUCGCCAGGGUUGAUUCGGCUGAUCUGGCUGACUAGGCCGAUGCCCCCUUCCUCCCUCAAUGCUCCAUGUGCGUCCCUCGCGAAGCUGCGCGCUGGGUCGAAAAGGACGACCACCCCCGAUAGAGGAGGACCGUUCCUCAGUCAAGGGUACACAAGUAGCUGCGCUCCCCUGCUAGAACCUCCAGACAAGCUCUCAAAAACUGAUGCUUGUCAAGCUAUUUAUGUUAAAUGAAUGGAGUGGAGAGAGAAACCCCAGAAGAAAUCCCCACCAUGACUGCUUAUUCACUCGCAU
rnacentral:snRNA from 1 species